CCUCCUCUGACUGACAUGUUAAUGUAUCAAUGGCUCCCUGCGUGAGUAUAAAAACUUUUAUGACAUUAUAUACAGCUUUUAUUAAUUCUUCAGCACUGGGUAACUCAGAGCCCAACAGUGUUAUCUAAAAUGACAAAUUAGAGAUCUUGGCUCAUCAUGCACUUUUUAAUUUCAUGCUUGUCUUCUGCAAAAUCUUCCGCUAUGUAUUUUACUUGCACAAAGCAUAGAUGCGGCACAAAGCUUUAAAAAGUUAUGGAUUAAAAUCUCAUUUGGAAUCAAUGGAAUUAUACAGGAAUUAUACAGGAGAAGGCUAUUACCUCAUGUCCUGGUUAGGAACUUUGCAGAAGCAACUGUGGGAGACUGGAAACUAGAUAAUCCUCUGAUCCAGUCUAACAGGACUCUUACGUUCUCCUAUUCUUUUGGCUCAGAACCCCUGUAAUACCAGCAAUUUCUUUGCUUUUGCUGAUGUACAUCUUUGUCCAACUCCACUUCAGGACACAUCCAGGAGAAUUGUGAGAAUUGGCUGUGUAAUAAUGAGUAAUUGGAUCUGUGAAGGUACCUUAGUUGCAUACCUUCCGACAUUUCUCCAGUGAAAACAGGGACAUCCUGUUCUACAUCAGGAAGCGUCUCCUGCAUUUGAUCUCUCGCAAACAGAGAUAUCAUAUACACAUAUUUACAUCAGUGUGGUGAUGAUGAUAGAAACUGUGCAAAUGAUCAGGAACAUACAAGACCCUAAUGAACAUCUGAGAAGGUGAGUCACCUCAUCCAUCACCUCCUCCGUCUCCAGGCCCUGAAGCUCUAAAUCAAGCUGAUGCUGAACACAAUAUAGCAGGACUGACAAGGCCUACACAGAGACAAGCUCCUUCUGAUGUCGGAGGAUGAAUGAGGUGAAAUAAUUGGGCAAAUACACCUGGUACAACACCUCCUGUGUGCUGGGAUUGCACAUGCGCCUACCUCACAACCUGGUUCUGCAUCUGAAAGUAGAACAUCGUUUACUGAAUGUAACCAAAUACCAAAAACAUUGAGCAUUUGCAGAGAAUAUUCUAUAACACACCAUCAGGGAAUUUUACAGAAGAGCAUAAACAAAAAGGCCAAAUUUAUGUUUGAUGGAAUAAACUGCUAACACUUUCU